UACGUAGGGUGCAAGCGUUGCCCGGAAUUACUGGGCGUAAAGCGCACGUAGGCGGCUUUGUAAGUUAGAGGUGAAAGCCCGGGGCUCAACUCCGGAACUGCCUUUAAGACUGCAUCGCUUGAAUCCAGGAGAGGUGAGUGGAAUUCCGAGUGUAGAGGUGAAAUUCGUAGAUAUUCGGAAGAACACCAGUGGCGAAGGCGGCUCACUGGACUGGUAUUGACGCUGAGGUGCGAAAGCGUGGGGAGCGAACAGG
rnacentral:rRNA from 1 species